rnacentral:rRNA from 1 species
UACGGGGGGAGCAAGCGUUGUUCGGAUUUACUGGGCGUAAAGGGCGCGUAGGCGGUCGUGACAAGUCACUUGUGAAAUCUCCGGGCUUAACUCGGAACGGUCAAGGUGAUACUGUCGGACUAGAGUACAGAAGGGGCAACUGGAAUUCUCGGUGUAGCGGUGAAAUGCGUAGAUAUCAGGAGGAACACCGGUGGCGAAGGCGCUCAUCUGGCCCAAUACUGACGCUGGAGGCGACGAAAGCUAGGGGAGCAAACGGG